AUAUGGUUCUGACAAUUUCUGACAAUUCCCAAAAACUUCAACGUACACUGCAAGGUAAGGGUCCACUCUUCAAAAGCAUCCCACGUUUUAAUCCAAAACAAUGAAAAAUAGUGAGAAAUCCAGCAAUAUCCUCCUUUGUUUACAUCCGCGCAUCCGCUAAGUAUGAUCGAUCAUGUUUAUUUUCUAUCAAAUAUCGAUUUUUAUCAGUGAAAAUCCAUCUCUUCCUGCUUCGUUAGACUGUUCAGAUAAAUAUCCCGCCCUAUUUUUCUGUUUUGUCCAAUCAGAAAAGGUUUGACAACUCAAAAUCUCAUGCGAUCAAUGAUUUGCCUAGAUAGAUGUCCUUCAGCUCACCAUAGGCUUUUGACUGGAUUACACCAAAACAAAGCCAGCCAAUGCAUAGUGAGCAAAGCUUUGAUUGACAGAGGAAGUAACCAAUCAUGAAACGAUUACAAGGAUUCAACUUACGUCAGUAAAGUGUACUUCUGCGCAAAUCUACAGAAGCGCAUGGAGAGAAAUGCCCAUGCCCCCUCCGUGCGCGUUUGUUUGUUUGGGUAGCAUAGCAGCCGGCUAAGCUCUCCGGAGCCGCUGAGAAACCUCUUCAAAUGUUAGAUAUAACAUCUCCAUUGUGGAUCGUGGACUACAGAUUACUUUUUGUGUUGAAAGUGUUUUGGAGAAGUUGAUAAAAAGCAUGAUCGCGGAUGAACAAUGCAAGACUGGAUGUAAACAAAGCGCGUCGUCGAGGAGAGAUGGACCGGAUUAUGAGCUCAGCUGCGCUCGCUUGGAUAAAGACUUCAGCUGACACAGGAGGACUGGAAUCUGGAGUGCAUUCAUGAGCGACCAUAUUCAAAAUAGCAAGUAUUUUGUUAUAAUGUGCAAAUGUUUUUUUCUGAAAUAGUUUUAUCUAUGUGCUUUGGUGGGCAGAGAAGUUCUGAAUUGAUAUACAUAAUGUAAUAUGUAGUCCUGACUCAUUUUCUUUUUAUAAUCAUGUCAUAUUGUUAUCAUGUGUAUAUUUGGAGUUUCCAAGUGCACUUUUUCUGAAAGGACGCCUGGACUUUUUUGAAAUAAAAGCUCACAGAAACAACAUUUUUUGGAGUAUCAUUCUCAAAUUUGAAUCACAGCAUGGUCAGACAUUCAGUUCACCUAUAUGGUGUCCCCAGGUGUCUCACAUGACCAUUUCAUACCUUUUUUGCUAAGUGAAUGUUAUUUAAAGAAAAACGGAAGUCAUUUAAUGUAUAUUUUACCUUGUUUUACUCUGUUUCUUUACUACUCUGAGUUGUUAUGACUAUUAGGCAACAAUAUGUCAAGUGUCUAGUUUCAAACAAGACCAGAAUUAUGAAUAUAGACCAUAGGGUUUAAGAGCUGCAGA